GAUGAACGCUGGCGGCGUGCCUAAUACAUGCAAGUCGAGCGAACAGGCGAGGAGCUUGCUCCUCUGAUGUUAGCGGCGGACGGGUGAGUAACACGUGGAUAACCUACCUAUAAGACUGGGAUAACUUCGGGAAACCGGAGCUAAUACCGGAUAACAUGUUGAACCGCAUGGUUCAACAGUGAAAGACGGUCUUGCUGUCACUUAUAGAUGGAUCCGCGCCGCAUUAGCUAGUUGGUAAGGUAACGGCUUACCAAGGCAACGAUGCGUAGCCGACCUGAGAGGGUGAUCGGCCACACUGGAACUGAGACACGGUCCAGACUCCUACGGGAGGCAGCAGUAGGGAAUCUUCCGCAAUGGGCGAAAGCCUGACGGAGCAACGCCGCGUGAGUGAAGAAGGUCUUCGGAUCGUAAAACUCUGUUAUUAGGGAAGAACAAAUGUGUAAGUAACUAUGCACGUCUUGACGGUACCUAAUCAGAAAGCCACGGCUAACUACGUG
rnacentral:rRNA from 1 species